rnacentral:rRNA from 1 species
UACAGAGGUCUCAAGCGUUGUUCGGAUUCAUUGGGCGUAAAGGGUGCGUAGGUGGCGCGGUAAGUCGGGUGUGAAAUCUCGGAGCUUAACUCCGAAACUGCAUUCGAUACUGCCGUGCUUGAGGACUGGAGAGGAGACUGGAAUUUACGGUGUAGCGGUGAAAUGCGUAGAUAUCGUAAGGAAGACCAGUGGCGAGGGCGGCUCUCUGGGACGGUACUGACGCUGAGACGCGAAAGCGUGGGGAGCGAACAGG